GAAUCUGUUAGAGAAAGAUACAAAAAAUAAGAAUUUGUUUGGAAAACAUAAAUCUUUCGUCUAAUUGUUCUUUUAAUUAGGAUUGGCACCUUUUCUUCAUUUAAUUGUUCUUUUUCUGUAACUAUUGAUUACUCCUCUUUAUUUUGAUUUGAUUUAAUUGAAUGGUUGAUUCUGUAAAAAAGAAUGGUCCUGUUGUCAAUGGUGAUAUUAUAUCGUUUGCUGCUCCUCCUCAGCACGGUAUCAAUGCUUUCCAGUUAUCAAUUUUUCUUUAAUAAAUGGGAUUUCAGGUUUUUUGGUUCCCUCAAAAAAUAUUUCGUAUCUUUUUAUACAGAUUUUACAUUUUCUUUUGUAUUUCGAGAGGUGCUUUUGUCCUCCCCCAUGCCAGAUAAUGCAGCUGCUAAUCGAAAAUGUUACUUGAUCAAUUAAAAGAAUUACAACAAGGAACUAGGCGAUGUUCAACAGAAACAUGCCAUCGAAGACCUCAAUGAAAGGCUGAGUGCUUCUAUGCAGUCAUAUGCUGAAGCAAAUGCUAUAAUAAGUAGAGGGUUGUGCCUCUGAAAGCAAGAGAUUGAAAGGCUUAGGCAUUGGUGCCCCCGAAGGUCCCAUUUCUCUUGAUGAUUUUCGAAGCCUUCAAAGAUCAAACACAGAGCUGAGGAAGCAGUUGGAGAAUCAGGUGGUAUUAAUUGAUACUUUGCGUAAUGACAACCGUGUUGCUGCUGAUCGUCAUGAAAGUGAAUUACAAUCAGCCAAGAAGUCUGUUGCAAAAUGUUACCUUGAUCAAUUAAAAGAAUUACAACAAAGUGUAGAUCUAAAAUACAAGGAACUAGGUGAUGUUAAUAGAGUAACUGCUGAACAGAAACAUGCCAUCGAAGACCUCAAUGAAAGGCUGAGUGCUUCUAUGCAGUCAUGUGCUGAAGCAAAUGCUAUAAUAAGCAGUCAGAAAGUAAAUAUAACUGAACUCAAGGAACAAUUAGAUGACGAGCGGACUCAGCGAAAAUAUUGAGGCUCAAGAGGAAUUAAGACAACACACUGAUGCUGCCUUAAGAAGAAAAAGAGAACUACAUGAAACAAUAAUAAGCUUCAGGAGUCAGAGAGAAAGGUGUUUGCUAGUUGAAACCUUGAGGUCCAAACUGGAGGAUACUAGGCAAAAGAUGGUUGUGUGUGAUAAUAAGGUUCGCCAGUUGGAAACUGAAUUGCAUGAGAAGAAACUGACCACUGCAAAUCAAACAAAGAAAAUAGAAGAACUUGAAGAGGAAACAAGAAGAUUAAGCAAAGAUCUUGAGAGUGAAAAGCAGCUUGAGAAGAAGCAUGGGCUAAAGUUUCUAUUCUUGAGCUUGAGAUAAAUGCCGCAAUGCGGGAUCUAGAUUUUGAGAGGAGGAGGUUAAGAGGUGCCAGAGAAAGACUUAUGCUUCGGGAAACACAACUAAGGGCAUUUUAUUCCACUACUGAGGAGAUACAAGUACUCUUUGCUAAGCAACAGGAGCAAUUAAAGGCUAUGCAGAAAACCCUUGAAGACGAAGAGAAUUACGAGAAUACUUCUGUAGAUAUGGAUGGAGUUAUCAGUGGAACCCCUGGAAGAGAGAGAAGUUGCAGGAUACCAUAGCAAAAAUACUGCAAAGGCAGGCUCAACUGCAUCUACACAGAAGCGCAACAGAGAUCAAGUA